rnacentral:rRNA from 1 species
GACGAACGCUGGCGGCGUGCCUAAUACAUGCAAGUUGAGCGAUGAAGAUUGGUGCUUGCACCAAUUUGAAGAGCAGCGAACGGGUGAGUAACGCGUGGGGAAUCUGCCUUUGAGCGGGGGACAACAUUUGGAAACGAAUGCUAAUACCGCAUAACAACUUUAAACAUAAGUUUUAAGUUUGAAAGAUGCAAUUGCAUCACUCAAAGAUGAUCCCGCGUUGUAUUAGCUAGUUGGUGAGGUAAAGGCUCACCAAGGCGAUGAUACAUAGCCGACCUGAGAGGGUGAUCGGCCACAUUGGGACUGAGACACGGCCCAAACUCCUACGGGAGGCAGCAGUAGGGAAUCUUCGGCAACGGACGGAAGUCUGACCGAGCAACGCCGCGUGAGUGAAGAAGGUUUUCGGAUCGUAAAACUCUGUUGGUAGAGAAGAACGUUGGUGAGAGUGGAAAGCUCAUCAAGUGACGGUAACUACCCAGAAAGGGACGGCUAACUACGUG